rnacentral:lncRNA from 1 species
UUGACUCUGAGCCUAUAUUGGACAAUCUUAAAAUCUGGGAGUAUUUUAAAAGGCUUAACUAAGGGUGAGUCAUUACAGAGAGGAUCCGUAUUUGUUUUUUCCAGACAGUAUGGCACAUUACCAACCCGGGCCAACUUUAUGUUAAUUUCUUGGCUUCUGGUUUUUUAGAUCAUGUAGAUAUGUAAAUUUGAACCUUGAAUGAGUGAUGGCAGACCCUCCAGUUUCAAGUUUUCAGGUGGUAUCUUUAUUCCCCCACCUGGAGCUGUGAUGAAAAGGAACAAAUUUCUCUGUGAUCUCCCUUUGCCAGGAGGGAGACAUUUUUCUGGCCCACCUAUGACUGACUGUGUAGACUUUUGUGGGUCCUGGCUGAAUGUGGGGCAAGGUGCUUCUCCAAUACCAUGAGUUGUACAAUUUCAAGUGGAAAUACUUAAACUUUAUUCUAUGAAAACAUCACCCCCUGAAACACAGGUACCAUUUACCUCAACUACCAUGGAAUGGCACCCAUUGACAUUGAAGCAUGUGCCUGGGAGGUUACAGGGAUAUGAAUUCUAUCUCUCUGCUUUGGGUAGAGAGCAGCCUGUCACCUGUCCCUGAUUGUGCUCUACUUCUGCUAUCAGCCAAAUGCCCCCAAAGGAAACACACUGCUAGUAUACUACUCUAGUUUCAGCUUUUUUAUUGUUGUUGUUUAACUUUUUAGCCCUGGAGAUUUCCCUGUCUUUCGUAGAAGACCUGUCAUGAAUUUAAUGAGCUAAUGUAAUUUAUUCAGCAUUUAGGUGUAUUGGUAAAAGAGAUUUUCAAAUAUUUUGUCCACCUCAUUGCUAGUAGCAAAACCUCCUCCCCCUUUGUUUUACAUGUCUAAAUCCUUCUUUUUCUUCAAAAGCUCAAAUGCUAUCUUCCACAGAUAACUUUACCUAAGCCCUUUGUAUGUAGAAAUAAGCACCCCUUUCUCUGAGAACACUUGACUUUCACAUCUUUUAGAGCUCAUUGUCUCUACAGUAUGAAAAUUGAGGACGGUGUCUUUAGGGAAUAAGAUCCUUCCACUUCUCUACCUAAGCAUAGCAGAGGACCUUACCCAUAGUAAUCACUCAAUUAUUUGUUGAAUGAACAGCCAAAGCAAAAUCCUUUUAUUUCCCAAAACUAUUCAUGAUUUUUCUAUUUCAGUAAACAACAUUACCAUUUUUUUCAGGUUAUGAGGAUUCUAAGACUUCAGAGGAAUCUUAGGUUCUCUCUUAUAAAGUCCUCACAUGCUGUCACCAAGUGAUGGCAAUUCUAUUUCUACAAGUCAUUUAAACCAUUCUUCUUCCCAGUUCACACUGUAACCAUGUGAUUCUGACUUUCAAUUCUCUUGGCCUAUCUGCUUUUCCUUCCCCUUCACCCAUUCCACCUGCAUUACCUAAUUAACAUUCCUAAAGUAUUCCUCUGCUCAAAACUUUUUUUUUAAUAAAAUUGUGUGAACUUCAGCAAGCUUCAUAACUUCUCUGAACCAGUUUCUCCUUUGAAAAAUGGAAUAAUGUGAGGCUGGGUGCGGUGGCUCAGGCCUGUAAUCCAGCACUUUGGGAGGCCGAGGCAGGCGGAUCACGAGGUCAGGAGUUCUGAGACCAGCCUGGCCAGCACGGUGAAACCCAGUCUCUACUAAAAAUACAAAAAUUAGCCAGGCAUGGUGGCGUGCGCCUGUAAUUCCAGCUACUCGGGAGGUUGAAGUAGGAGAAUGGAGGCUGAGGUAGGAGAAUCGCUUGACCCAGGGAGGCAGAGGUUGCAAUGAGCUGAGAUUGUGCCACUGCACUCCAGCCUGGGCAACAGAGCAAGACUCCAUCUCAAAAACAAAAAAACAAAAAAAAACAAAGAAAAAUGGAAUAAUGUUAUCAACACAGAUUGUACCAUCUGCUAUAGCAACCACUGCUACAUGUAACUAUUUAAAUUAAAAUCUCGAUAGAUUAAAAUUAAAUAAAAUUUUUAAUUCCUCAGUCACACUACCCACAUUUCAAAUGCUCAAAAGCCACGUGUCACCAUCCUGGCCAACACGGUGAAACCCCGUUUCUACUAGAAAUACAAAAAAUUAGCCGGGGGUGAUGGCAGGCGCCUGUAGUCUCAGCUACUUGGGAGGCUGAGGCAGAAGAAUCACUUGAAUCUGGGAGGCGGAGGUUGCAGUGAGCUGAGAUCGUGCCACUGCACUCCAGUAAAAAUUUAGAACAUUUCCAUGAUUGGCCGGGCACGGUGGCUCGCGCCUGUAAUCCUAGCACUUU